GGCCCCUCCCCUUGCUGAGUCCUUGAGGUCUGGAAGGAGCUGAUCCCUGUGAGGGGGUAGGGCGGUGCGGGCCCCAGGCCUGGCCAUCCGCAUACCGCAUUGCCUUGGUUACCAGAGUAGUUGAGAGAUAAACUGGAAGACCAAAGUCUAUCAAGGCCAAUCCUGGGACUGUGGGGAGGGGUCCUCUUUCGGUUGGGCCAGCGGAGCGGAGGUAAACCUGCUGCUGCCCAGGACUUGACAGGGAAGUCAGUGACUGAGGAAAGUGUCCAGAGAUGGGGACUUACAACUUCCUGAGCACUUGUUGAGCGCCUGGAUCCAGGGGUGCCUGAAAUGGCCCUCUGGCUGCUGGCUCUUCCCGAGGCACAUCCUGUCUUGCUGGUGCUGCUUCAUCCCUGGAAUGCCCCCAUGGGCCUAAUAGCUACCAUUUAUUGUGCUCCCAACACAUGCCAACCCUGCGCUCCUCAUUCAGCCUCUGAGCUGUACACAUCACCGCCCCUUCUAGGGACAGGCAAACAAGCUCUCAGAGAAGUCAGUUCUGGGGGUCAGAAGUCCAAAAUGAGUCUCACGUGUCAGGGCUGCAUUCCUUCCAGGAGGUUCUGGGCGAGAAUCUGUUUCCUUGCCUUUACCAGCUUCUAGAGUCUGCCUGCAUUCCUUGGCUCAUGGUCUCUUCCUCCAUCUCCAAAGCCAGCGUUGGUGCCAGCCUCACGUUACCAUCUCUCUGGUUCUCAUCCUCUGCCCUCCUCUCUCUCCCAUUUAAGGCCCCUGUGAUUACUUUGGGCCCAUCCAAAGAAUUCAGGAUAAUCUUAUUUUAAGAUCAGUUGAUUAUCAGCCUUAAUUUCAUCUAUAACCUUAAUUCUCUCUGCUGAGUAAUCUAAGAUAUUCCUGAGUUCUGGGGGUUAGACUGUGGACAUCACUGGGGGGCCAUUAUGCUGCCUACCGUAGGUGCCAAACAGAAAACAGUUGGCCCACCUGCCUUAUAUGCCGGUUACCCUGGGGACUUGGUUUAUUUCCUCUACUAGUGGAGACAUCUAGAGGACAGGACAGUUUGGAUUACCAAUUGCAUGUAACAAUCGCUCCAAGACUCAGUGGCUGAAAGCAACACUUCUUUAUCGUCACUCAUGCAUCUGGGGAUCAGCUUGGGUUCAGCUGAGCAGUUGGCUGCUGGGUCACCUCUGUGUCUCGCUGGGCAUCCGUGUUGGCUGGGGUGGCUCUGCUUAUGUGUCUCUCAUCCCCUUGGACCAGCAAGCCAGCCGACUGGGCUUUUCCCAGGCAGGGACAGAGAUGUACAGCAAAACAAGGAGGAAACACACGGCGCCUUCUGAGCUGUCACUUCCACCCAUCUGCCAUUGGGCACGGCAAGUCCCAUUGGCCAAGCCCCAAGCUGAGGGGUCAGGAGAUGCACUCAGCUCUCGGGGAGCUUGUUGGUGGAGACAGGGCGGAGGGAGAAAUGGGAGUACAAUCUAGUCCAUUCCGGGGCCACUUCUUAAUCAUAUUUGCUUUCCUACUAUUCCAGAACAUUGUUUUUUACCGGCUUGGGUCUGCAUGAAAAGGUAUCAAGUAAAUGAAUGAAUGAACGAACAAACGAACUAACAAAUGAGCACCCGUAGGGAGGACACGCUCAUCCAGGCUUAGUGUCUCUCACUAUGGUGGAGGUGCGCUGGGGGUUACAGCUGGCAGAGCACAAACUCCUUUGUCUGGCUGGGGCUGAGCCCACAGUACUCAAGGCUGCCACCGGGGCAGGCCCGGCCCCCCAAGAUGCCUGUGGUCUCCUGAGGACGCAGAGCGCAGCAAGUGAGAACAAGAGGGUUGCAGAGUCUGUGUGACGGAGCAUGGAAAGAGUGCCUCCAGGCAGCCUCGGAGCUGAGCCUGGAAGACCAGCCCCUGCUCUGAGGCAGAUAAGGGGAGAGCGGCCGUCAGGGAUGGACGCAGACGGCGUGGACAAGCGCACUGCCCCUGUGGGGACCCAUCUGGCAACUAAAGAAGUUCGGUGCUCCUGGACAGUGUGUAUGAACCGUGGGGAGGCAGGCUGCGUGAGUGACCGACAAGGAAGGGCAUGGUUUUACACCAACCGGUUUGGAUUUAUCCUCUAAGCCAGGGGUUGACAGACUUCUUGUGUAAAGGACCAGAGAGCAAGUAUUUCAGGCUUUGUGGACCAUACAGUCUCUCUCGCACCUUCUUAACUCUGCCGUUACAGCGUGAAAGCGGCCCGGCCGCAGUCAGUAUGUAAAUGAACGGGCAUGUUUGUGUUCCAGUAAACUUUAUUUAUAAAAACAACCAUAGCCCAGAUCUGGGCAGUGGCUCCAGUUUGUCAAUCUCCGCUCCCCACCCAGAGUCACACCCUGGCAGCCUGCAGGCCAAUUCUGUCCCACAGAUUUUUGUUUUGUAUCAUUUAGCCAACAUUAAAAGAUGAACUGAUUUCACAUAAAAAUCUAAAUCUAGAUUCCCGGGUUCCUUAAAAAGUCUGAAGCUCCAAUUACACCAGGCUUUCAGUCCUAUGUGGCAGUAAGCAACUGGAGGCCCCUUUCACCAGCUCAUGGUCUCUCCAGUUUGCCAGAGUCUCUGCCACUCCC